GAUGAACGCUGGCGGCGUGCCUAAUACAUGCAAGUCGAGCGAACGGACGAGAAGCUUGCUUCUCUGAUGUUAGCGGCGGACGGGUGAGUAACACGUGGAUAACCUACCUAUAAGACUGGGAUAACUUCGGGAAACCGGAGCUAAUACCGGAUAAUAUUUUGAACCGCAUGGUUCAAAAGUGAAAGACGGUCUUGCUGUCACUUAUAGAUGGAUCCGCGCUGCAUUAGCUAGUUGGUAAGGUAACGGCUUACCAAGGCAACGAUGCAUAGCCGACCUGAGAGAGUGAGCGGCCACACUGGAACUGAGACACGGUCCAGACUCCUACGAAAGGCAGCAGUAGGGAUUCUUCCGCAAUAGGCAAAAGCCUAACGGAGCCACGCCGCAUGAGUAAUGAAGGUCUUCGGAUCGUAAAACUCUGUUAUUAGGGAAGAACAUAUGUGAAAAUGACUGUGCACAUCUUGACGGUACCUAAUCAGAAAGCCACGGCUAACUACGUG
rnacentral:rRNA from 1 species